UAGCCAAGUGGUUAAGGCUAUGGAUCGCCAAUCCGGAGACAGCGGGUUCGAUUCCCGU
rnacentral:tRNA from 1 species